GUGUCCCGAUGGUGUAGUGGAUAGUACCCCUGCCUUCUACGCCGAGGGUCGUGGGUUCGAUUCCCACUGGACACA